rnacentral:rRNA from 1 species
GGCUCAGAUUGAACGCUGGCGGCAGGCCUAACACAUGCAAGUCGAGCGGUAGAGAGAAGCUGCUUUCUCUUGAGAGCGGCGGACGGGUGAGUAAUGCCUAGGAAUCUGCCUGGUAGUGGGGGAUAACGUUCGGAAACGGACGCUAAUACCGCAUACGUCCUACGGGAGAAAGCAGGGGACCUUCGGGCCUUGCGCUAUCAGAUGAGCCUAGGUCGGAUUAGCUAGUUGGUGAGGUAAUGGCUCACCAAGGCGACGAUCCGUAACUGGUCUGAGAGGAUGAUCAGUCACACUGGAACUGAGACACGGUCCAGACUCCUACGGGAGGCAGCAGUGGGGAAUAUUGGACAAUGGGCGAAAGCCUGAUCCAGCCAUGCCGCGUGUGUGAAGAAGGUCUUCGGAUUGUAAAGCACUUUAAGUUGGGAGGAAGGGCAGUUACCUAAUACGUGAUUGUUUUGACGUUACCGACAGAAUAAGCACCGGCUAACUCUGUGCCAGCAGCCGCGGUAAUACAGAGGGUGCAAGCGUUAAUCGGAAUUACUGGGCGUAAAGCGCGCGUAGGUGGUUAGUUAAGUUGGAUGUGAAAUCCCCGGGCUCAACCCUGGGAACUGCAUUCAAAACUGACUGACUAGAGUAUGGUAGAGGGUGGUGAUUUCC